rnacentral:tRNA from 1 species
AGGGGUAUAGCCAAGUUGGUAAGGCACCGGACUCUGAAUCCGGUAUGCGUUGGUUCGAGUCCAGCUACCCCUGCCA